rfam:Ruminococcus albus 8 contig00064, whole genome shotgun sequence.
AUCCAUCUUCAGGGCAGGGUGUGAUUCCUGACCGGCAGUUAAAGUCUGCGAGCCGCUUUUGGCGGUUGACCCGUUGAAAUUACGGGACCGACGGUAUAGUCCGGAUGAGAGAAGAUAUAU